rnacentral:rRNA from 1 species
AGUGAACGCUGGCGGUAGGCCUAACACAUGCAAGUCGAACGGCAGCACAGUAAGAGCUUGCUCUUCGGGUGGCGAGUGGCGGACGGGUGAGGAAUACAUCGGAAUCUACUUUUUCGUGGGGGAUAACGUAGGGAAACUUACGCUAAUACCGCAUACGACCUACGGGUGAAAGCAGGGGAUCUUCGGACCUUGCGCGAUUGAAUGAGCCGAUGUCAGAUUAGCUAGUUGGCGGGGUAAAGGCCCACCAAGGCGACGAUCCGUAGCUGGUCUGAGAGGAUGAUCAGCCACACUGGAACUGAGACACGGUCCAGACUCCUACGGGAGGCAGCAGUGGGGAAUAUUGGACAAAGGGCGCAAGCCUGAUCCAGCCAUACCGCGUGGGUGAAGAAGGCCUUCGGGUUGUAUAGCCCUUUUGUUGGGAAAGAAAAGCAGCAGGUUAAUACCCCGCUGUUCUGACGGUACCCAAAGAAUAAGCACCGGCUAACUUCGUG